rnacentral:misc_RNA from 1 species
AUUUGAAGAGGUUGUAAACGAUGGGGCUAUAGCUCAGCUGGGAGAGCGCCUGCUUUGCACGCAGGAGGUCUGCGGUUCGAUCCCGCAUAGCUCCACCAUCUUUACUGCGAACACAAGAAAACUUCAGAGUGAACCUGAAAAGGUGCACUGCGAAGUUUUGCUCUUUAAAAAUCUGGAUCAAGCUGAAAAUUGAAACGACAC